rnacentral:rRNA from 1 species
GACGAACGCUGGCGGCGUGCUUAACACAUGCAAGUCGAACGGAAAGGCCCUGCUUUUGUGGGGUGCUCGAGUGGCGAACGGGUGAGUAACACGUGAGUAACCUGCCCUUGACUUUGGGAUAACUUCAGGAAACUGGGGCUAAUACCGGAUAGGAGCUCCUGCUGCAUGGUGGGGGUUGGAAAGUUUCGGCGGUUGGGGAUGGACUCGCGGCUUAUCAGCUUGUUGGUGGGGUAGUGGCUUACCAAGGCUUUGACGGGUAGCCGGCCUGAGAGGGUGACCGGCCACAUUGGGCCUGAGAUACGGCCCAGACUCCUAUGGGAGGCAGCAGUGGGGAAUAUUGUACAAUGGGCGGAAGCCUGAUGCAGCAACGCCGCGGGCGGGAUGAUGGCCUUCGGGUUGUAAACCGCUUCCGCCUGUGACGAAGCGUGAGUGACGGUAAUGGGUAAAGAAGCACCGGCUAACUACGUG